rnacentral:ncRNA from 2 species
GUGAACCACUGGAAGUGCUUUUGUUAAAGGCUGAGAUUAAAGUAUCGACUUUAGAAUUCCUAGAACCUGAUCCAGUUCAUACUGGCGUAGGAAAGUGGCGUUCAACGAGU